GACGAACGCUGGCGGCGUGCUUAACACAUGCAAGUCGAACGGAAAGGCCCUGCUUUUGUGGGGUGCUCGAGUGGCGAACGGGUGAGUAACACGUGAGUAACCUGCCCUUGACUUUGGGAUAACUUCAGGAAACUGGGGCUAAUACCGGAUAGGAGCUCCUGCUGCAUGGUGGGGGUUGGAAAGUUUCGGCGGUUGGGGAUGGACUCGCGGCUUAUCAGCUUGUUGGUGGGGUAGUGGCUUACCAAGGCUUUGACGGGUAGCCGGCCUGAGAGGGUAACCGGCCACAUUGGGACUGAGGUACGGCCCAGACUCCUACGGGAGGCAGCAGGGGGGAAUAUUGCACAAUGGGCGGAAGCCUGAUGCAGCAACGCCGCGUGCGGGAUGACGGCCUUCGGGUUGUAAACCGCUUUCGCCUGUGACGAAGCGUGAGUGACGGUAAUGGGUAAAGAAGCACCGGCUAACUACGUG
rnacentral:rRNA from 1 species